AUUUUCCUCAGGCAUCAGAAGUAGCAAUAAUCCAGCAAAGAAAUUCAUCGCCUGACAAUACCCAACAGAGGGAUUAUGCCGCGCAUAGGCUAAAAGUAAACGCCUCAAGGAAUCCCUGCCAUGCUCAUCCAAUGCAGGAUGACCCGGGAAGGUUCGUGGUAUAUCAAAUUUAAAAGAUUGAACGAUAAAGUCCUAGGCGCAUGCAUCUAAUGACCUUCUCAAUUUGCCUUUUCCAUUUCCUGGGUACAUCAUUUGAGUUACUAUGGUCCUUGCUUUCAUCAGCCUUACUUUCUUCAGCCAGCAACUCCUCAUAAUACUUCUCCACUCGACGUGCCUUUACCCCAACAAAGGCUUGCCAUACCUCUCCUCUGAGAUCCUUCGGCACUCCCCCAUGAACAAGGAACUCAAGUUCUUCUUUCCAAGAAAAGAACAUCUCUGGAGUCUCAUUGUCUGCUGUAUUUUCUUGUAUGGAUGUCUUGACUUUUCCAUCAGAAGUGUCCUUAACACAGACAUCCUCCUCAACGUCCUUGGCUUCUCCUGCAAGUUCUGCCUCUCUCGUUGAUAGAAGAUGACCUCUGCCUGCAGUGAUCUGAUUGUCUUUCAUAUUCUUUAUGUUCUUAACACGUGAACUCAUCAUUUUCUCGAGGGCAUGGAGGGAGAGUCUAAUCCUAGACCAGGUUUGAACUUUAGCGGCCUUUGAUUGUUUUAGGAGCAGCUCCUCCUCUUUAGUUUCUUUUGAAAGUUGCACCUCUUUUUCUGGUUCUUCCAAAUGCUGCACCACUAGUUCAGGUUCCUUUGAAAUCUGGUCCUCCUUUUUGAGUUCUUUGGAAAGCUGCACCUCCUUUCCAAGCUCUUCCGAAGACUGUUCCUUCUGUUGUUCCUCUGAAAAUUGCUCCUCUUUCUCAGUUUCGUCUGAAAGUUGCACCACCUGUUGAGGAUCACAUUCUUCUGAGCCAUCAAAAUCAGAUUUCUUCCCACUAGAAUAAUCCCCCUCUUGGCCUCUUUCUGAAAUGGUCUGUACUCCCAAUUUAGCAGCCCGCAAUAUCUCUCCAGAUUCCUCUUCAGAUGAGCAAAAUUGAUCAGAUUCUGUUUGAUGUUCAAGGAAGAUCCUCCAUUUCUCUGAUCUUUCCUGUUCCUCCUCCUUAUAGAUACUAACGUACUCUCUAUAUCUUUGUACGUGUUGAGGUCUCAAAGCAAAUCCAUAGGAAUCCCUCCUGCGCUCGAUAGUGUGGAGGAGAUUAAAGCUCUUCUCCGCCAUCUUCGAUCAACCGAUCAAGAUUUGGAGAUUUCGGAGAUCUAACCCAUGAAUUUUGCUAACUGAAUUUUGUGAAUUUCGGAGAGUUGAUAGCUAAGAGCUUUGCUCCGGCUCCUGGUCGUUAAUGUGUAGGAUGGUCACG
rnacentral:misc_RNA from 1 species